rnacentral:rRNA from 3 species
GAUUCAGUGGCGAACGGGUGAGUAACACGUGGGCAACCUGCCUCCGGCUCUGGGAUAACUCCAAGAAAUUGGGGCUAAUACCGGAUGUGCACUGCUGGCCGCAUGGUCGGUGGUGGAAAGGGUUUCCGGCUGGGGAUGGGCCCGCGGCCUAUCAGCUUGUUGGUGGGGUAGUGGCCUACCAAGGCGACGACGGGUAGCCGGCCUGAGAGGGUGACCGGCCACACUGGGACUGAGACACGGCCCAGACUCCUACGGGAGGCAGCAGUGGGGAAUAUUGCGCAAUGGGCGGAAGCCUGACGCAGCGACGCCGCGUGGGGGAUGACGGCCUUCGGGUUGUAAACCUCUUUCAGCAGGGACGAAGCCGUGAGGUGACGGUACCUGCAGAAGAAGCACCGGCCAACUACGUGCCAGCAGCCGCGGUAAUACGUAGGGUGCAAGCGUUGUCCGGAAUUAUUGGGCGUAAAGAGCUCGUAGGCGGUUGGUCGCGUCGGCUGUGAAAUCCCGGAGCUCAACUCCGGGUCUGCAGUCGAUACGGGCCGACUUGAGUGUUGCAGGGGAGACUGGAAUUCCUGGUGUAGCGGUGAAAUGCGCAGAUAUCAGGAGGAACACCGGUGGCGAAGGCGGGUCUCUGGGCAACAAC